rnacentral:rRNA from 1 species
UACGGGGGGAGCAAGCGUUGUUCGGAUUUACUGGGCGUAAAGGGCGCGUAGGCGGCCAGCGCAAGUCAGUUGUGAAAUCUCCGGGCUUAACUCGGAACGGUCAACUGAUACUGCGCGGCUAGAGUGCAGAAGGGGCAACUGGAAUUCUCGGUGUAGCGGUGAAAUGCGUAGAUAUUCGGAAGAACACCAGUGGCGAAGGCGGCUCACUGGACCGGUAUUGACGCUGAGGUGCGAAAGCGUGGGGAGCAAACAGG